UACGAAGGGGGCAAGCGUUGUUCGGAUUUACUGGGCGUAAAGGGCGCGUAGGCGGCCUUGUCAGUCAGGCGUGAAAGCCCCGGGCUCAACCUGGGAACGGCGCUUGGGACGGCGAGGCUGGAGUUCGGGAGAGGAGAGUGGAAUUCCCAGUGUAGAGGUGAAAUUCGUAGAUAUUGGGAAGAACACCGGUGGCGAAGGCGGCUCUCUGGACCGACACUGACGCUGAGGCGCGAAAGCGUGGGGAGCAAACAGG
rnacentral:rRNA from 1 species